UCAGCUUACAAUUAGUCUAACAGAACACUACAUGUCUAUGCAUGCAACACCAAAAUCCUCCAACUUAACUGCAGAAUGACCCAAAAUUAUUGCGAAUUGAAAUGUCAUAAGUUCGUACUCUACAUCCGUUAUUAACGCACGUAAUAGUGCCACUGAGAGCCUCAUUGACUUCACGGAUGUACU
rnacentral:lncRNA from 1 species